rnacentral:misc_RNA from 1 species
UCGUAACAAGGUUUCCGUAGGUGAACCUGCGGAAGGAUCAUUAAUGAUGCCCUCGAAGUCUUUGGACUGGUAGGGUUUGUGUCGGUCUCUUCGGAGUCGACCUUAUCUCACACACCGUGAACUGUGGCUUCGGCCAUUUACACAAACUGUUAGUAAUGAAUGUAAUAUCAUAACAAACAUAAAACUUUUAACAACGGAUCUCUUGGCUCUCGCAUCGAUGAAGAACGCAGCGAAAUGCGAUAAGUAAUGUGAAUUGCAGAAUUCAGUGAAUCAUCGAAUCUUUGAACGCACCUUGCGCCCUUUGGUAUUCCGAAGGGCAUGCCUGUUUGAGUGUCAUGAAACCUCACCCCACUUGGGUUUUUGCCCGAGCGGUGGUGGAUUGGGCGUCUGCCGUUAAUGGCUCGCCUGAAAAGCAUAAGCAACUUUGGAUGUAAUACGUUUCAUCCUUUCGAGUGGCUGACAACCCAACAUAUCUCAUGAUCUGGCCUCAAAUCAGGUAGGGCUACCCGCUGAACUUAAGCAUAUCAAUAA